CACCAGCGCCACAAGUGGGAAUCGCUAUUACUGGGCCUAAAGCGUCCGUAGCAGGUCUUAUCAAUUGCUUGUGAAAUUGCAUAUCUCAACUAUGCGAAUUGCAGGCAACACUAUAAGACUAGGGACCGGGAGAUGUUGGAGGUAUUCAGAGGGGAGCGGUAAAAUGCGAGAAUCCUCUGAGGACCACCUGUUGCGAAGGCGUCCAACAAUAACGGGUCUGACUGUGAGGGUCUAAAGCUAGGGGAGCGAACCG
rnacentral:rRNA from 1 species